ensembl:lncRNA
CUGUUAGUCUCUCUUUGGUUGGAUGUAUUUUUAAAGAAGUCUUCUAAAAACUAGUAGCUUUGUCAUGUUGCAUCACUUUUGUAUUUAUAUGAAUUAAUGGACUCUUUGGGUAUCUGAAGUGACAGCAGCAAAGUCAGUCUUACAGGAUCAUAUUAUUUCACUUCCACAAAAUUGUUGGGCUCUGCAGAGCUUAGCAGAUCUUUCAUUCAUGGAUAUGACUACAGGUAAUGGUAACUAACAAGUGCAGCAACAUUCAAGCAUCUUUUUUUUAGUGUUUGGUUUGGCAAGCAAUAGCUUUCAUUGCAGCCUGAAACCUCUGUCAGUUGAUUACUGGACCAAUCAUUGUGGCAUCAUAAAAUACCUACUCCUUGCACAAAGCUUUCCUUAUCACACUCCAGGAUUUGUUGACAUGGGGCCAACUUUGUGUACUUACAGACAUUCAUUUAGUUUCUCUACAUUCCUGCUUUAACAGAAGCAAAGCACUGAGGAAGUGAAGAAAUAAUUAAAAAUGAUUCAAAAGUUUCUGACAUUUCUAAGGGACUUUCUCACAAAUUGGGACCCAAAAUUCCUAAUAUAUUAAUUUUAGAAAUGCCUUAUUUCUGAAAGCAAAGUGCCACUGGCAAUUUAAAAAAGGGGGUGGUUAAUCUGAAAAACAAUUGAUUCUCUCUGAUACCUUCAGUCGUAUUUGUCAUUGCUUUUAUCUUUGUCAUUUUGCUUUGUCCCAAGAAUUGAUUCUUCCACACGAAAUUUAGCCUCUCCUCUCUGUGUAAAAUUUCCCAUGAGUCAGACUAAUAGUAAAGGCUAUUACCCAACAUAUUACCCAAGGCUGAGGUAGUUAUUCUGACUGUCUGUUUUUAUUUAAUGCUAUAUAUCUUUUUAUCUUUACUCAUGGGAUGGGCUUUCAUUCCCAUUAGUCCAGUUAUAGCCUAGUGUGUCUUCACUGACAUCACUAGAGUUAUAUGCUUGCUAUCAGUGGUAUUAUUGAGUGGUGAAUUCCUAUACUCUGGAAAUUUAAUUUUGAUCCACAAUGAUCCAUCCUUGCUAAACAAUGCAAUAUACUCUCUAAUGCAGUUACUUAUGUGUCUUCUAUAGCAAAUGAGAAAUGGG